GNAAUUAUUGGGCGUAAAGAGCUUGUAGGCGGUUGGUCGCNUCUGCUGUGAAAGGCUGGGGCUUAACCCUGGUUUUGCAGAGGGUACGGGCUAACUAGAGUGCAGUAGGGGAGACUGGAAUUCCUGGUGUAGCGGUGGAAUGCGCAGACAUCAGGAGGAACACCGAUGGCGAAGGCAGGUCUCUGGGCUGUAACUGACGCUGAGAAGCGAAAGCAUGGGGAGCGAACAGGAUUAGAUACCCUGGUAGUCCAUGCCGUAAACGUUGGGCACUAGGUGUGGGGGACAUUCCACGUUUUCCGCGCCGUAGCUAACGCAUUAAGUGCCCCGCCUGGGGAGUACGGCCGCAAGGCUAAAACUCAAAGAAAUUGACGGGGGCCCGCACAAGCGGCGGAGCAUGCGGAUUAAUUCGAUGCAACGCGAAGAACCUCACCAAGGCUUGACAUAUACUGGACUGCGUCAGAGAUGGCGUUUCCCUUCGGGGCUGGUAUACAGGUGGUGCAUGGUUGUCGUCAGCUCGUGUCGUGAGAUGUUGGGUUAAGUCCCGCAACGAGCGCAACCCUCGUUCUAUGUUGCCAGCACGUGAUGGUGGGGACUCAUAGGAGACUGCCGGGGUCAACUCGGAGGAAGGUGGGGAUGACGUCAAAUCAUCAUGCCCCUUAUGUCUUGGGCUUCACGCAUGCUACAGUGGCCGGUACAGAGGGUUGCGAUACUGUGAGGUGGAGCUAAUCCCUAAAAGCCGGUCUCAGUUCGGAUUGGGGUCUGCAACUCGACCCCAUGAAGUCGGAGUCGCUAGUAAUCGCAGAUCAGCUACGCUGCGGUGAAUACGUUCCCGGGCCUUGUACACACCGCCCGUCAAGUCACGAAAGUUGGUAACACCCGAAGCCGGUGGCCUAACCCCGGUGG
rnacentral:rRNA from 1 species